ensembl:lncRNA
UGAUUGUACAGAGACACAAUGUCAGUGUCCAAAUAGGACCAAACUGUAAUAGUUAGCUAAGCCCACACAGUGAGCUCUGUGCAAGGAGGCAAAAAUCAAUAACCUUCAGGGGCUACAAAUAUUAAUCUGUUUGAGUACCAUGUUUCAUUUUGUAUUCUUCUAUACCAGCUUUUUGGUUGCAGUGUGGCUUUUAGACAGAGCAAGCACUUCCAUAACUCCAAAGCUUCAGAAAGGCUCAAAACUGUAGGGCAGGUGUUAUGUAGCCCACUAAACACUAGAGGGAGAUAUUAUAAAAGGUACCAAUUUCAGCACUGGGUGAAAUCACAGUAGCUGCGUUCUGUACAGAUAUCCAGAUCUUUUGUUCACGUAUGCAUUGCUACUCAAAGAAAAACACAAAUUGCCCAUUUGUUCCAGAUAUGUCAAGGUUUCAUUUUGUUUUUCCAAAGAGGUGCGUUUGUACAGAUGUCAAAUACAUACACCAACAGGGUUUCUCCAUUGCUAUAGAGGAAAUGGGGUGGUGAGACACAGGGACUUGGUGAGUACAAUAUAGUACAAACAAGUUGGCUGGGAACUGCUGUGGCCCCCCCUGUAGGCCAGACUGUCCAUGCAGGUCUGCGCUGAUGUCCAGUUCUCCGCCACCAUCUCACAGGCCAGUAAGUCUCACUUUAGUACGUGGUGACGCAGGUUAACUGAGAAACAUCUUGACAGACAGGUUGCUAGCCUCAGGGCUGAGUGUUCAGAUCACAGGAAGGACACAGCUGACAGAUCAACUCCACCCUCUCCCUGGCAGUGGGCAGGGUCAGAGGUCAAGAACCACACAGCCUGUCCUGAAGUGUUUUUAUCGCCUUCCACAGAGAGGCCGCCCAGAGAUGAUCAGUACACUAAAGAGUAAUCCAAGCCAUCUCCAGCAUAAUACACAUAAUAUCAUAAUAAUUUAUAGUUAAUUUCCAAUAAGAACAUUUGUUAAUCAAAUCAAUUCAAAUAUCAAAUUAUAGGUAAUAAAUUUACAUAUCUUAUAACCCAUAUCAAAAAGCCCACUAUGCAAAUUGACUGGUGUGAAACUAACUGUUAAGUGGGCCUCUACACUUUUUUUUUUUCUUCUUUCUGCCUGAGUUGGUUAUCCAGCGCUAUGGACAUCGACAAGACAUCAUACAAAAAAAAAGAAAAGAAAAAUAAAUUCAUGAAAAAAGUGGAAUCCUGAUCGAAUUCUGUUCACUUUUAAAACACAACAAAAGUGCCAAAAAACACAUUUUUGUUUACGCAAAAUGAAAGUACAAACAUUAAGAAACAAAGAGCACACAUGCCUUUUUUCUGAUCAAAAAAAGUCAAAGCUCACUCACCAACAUUCAUUUUAUUUGUCAAGUUGUGCAAGAAGCCAAUUAAAAAAAAAAAAAAAAAAUGACAUUAGCACUGUUCCUCCAGUGAGGACGCUUGUCUUGAAAAACUCAACAAUGACACAUUCUCUACAUAGUUUUAAGUCCCCUGACAUUAUACUGAGUGCUACAAGGAGACCAAAAACAAAACAACAACAACAAAAAGCUCCUGCACCAAAGAUAAUGCAAACAAAGCAAAGGUUUGCACGCGCUCUUUCCGCACCGCACAACCGAACCAAGCCGUGAACAUCAAGAAACCGAAUUUAUCCGUUCAGGCAGGUUGGCGGUGUGCGCUGGAAAAGAUGAACGCAACGAAAGAGGGGACGCUUUCCAUGAGAAAGGGGUUUUCCUAGUAGAAAAGAACCAAGGAAUCACCUAACACCUCGGCCCGUUGGACCCAAGAACGCGCCGGGCGCCAAGCGAGAUGGAGCACAGACAGAUAAAACACAAGGUUACGGCAAGGUGAUGUGCAAACUUGAGCCAUCUCUCCCCCUCUCUCUUUUUAUUCAUCAAUAGUCACCCCGUUUAGUUUUUGUUUGUUUGUUUUCUCAUUCUCUCUGUCUGUUUUGAAUGAAUGUUACCCCUGGGACAGGCGUCGGCCUGAAAGAGAGGGGUUAGACCGAGCCCCGUCCCAGGAUUAGAAAGUGCUGAAACAUUAUCAAGUCUUUUUACAUCUACAUACAUGUGCAUCUCUUUCGGUUGGUUUAGAAUCUUUUUUUUUUCCUUUUUCUUUUUUUUUCUCUUUUUUUUCUACAAAAAAAAAAAAGUGGUCCCCACUAGCGAUGAGGUUUCUUUUUCCUGUGGGUCUCACCGUGAACCGUCGAGGGUCAGGGUUUAUGAUCUCACAGACUAUUAGAGGAGAAAACACUCCCCCCCCCACACACACACACACACACACAAACACUCACACACAUUUGAACACCAGGUGUACAUAAGCAUACAUCCUACACGCACGACGACACACGGUGCAGACUCACAACUGAGGAAGGCCGCGAGGACGAAAGGGAAGGAGAGGAAAGAGAGGAAAAACAGGAAAAACGCUUUGCUGUUUCUCCUCACAAACAUCCUGACUCAGAUGUGACACACACGUCAACAGAUAUUUAAAAGAAAUACACGAGCCUUUAACGAGGAUCAGACACUGGAGUCGAACUUUUGCUACAUACACUUGGCACAGUAAAGAGGGGGAAAACAAAAUCAAAGUAUUGCACAUUGUGGUACAUUUCAAUGGGAUUUAAGAAAGACUUGGGAAAUGAUAACUACACUAGACCCUCGGAAAAAAAAAAAAAAAAAACCUUGCUGAUUGAUUUAUGUUAUCAUCUAUAGUAAAAUAUAAACUCAGUGGCCUUUUUAAGCUGACUGUGAACAGGAGACCGAAUAUGAAAAGAUGAUGUAAUUGGGAGGGCAGACCUCCUAUAUCCGCAUCAGGCCACACUGAAAGGUAGCGAACGGUUGUCGUUAAGGGUUAAACAGAUUGCUUUGCCUCAGAAGGAGGUGCUCGUGAGGCUGGCUGGCUAUGAUUGGGUACCUGAAACAAAGUUAAAGAGGUCACUACGGGAGUCGUGGCAAAGAGGCAGAGCUUGGCGGAGUCAAAAAAACGAAGAGGAAAAAAAGAAGUCUGCUGGUUGGCUUCGUGCCACACCGAGUCGGUUCGCCUUCAGCGUUGACAGUGUAACAGCAGUGUUUGUGACUGACCAGCAGGGACAGAGGAGGUUUCAGGGGUUGUGUUGGGUUACUGCAUAUAUGAGAAACUUCCCUGAAAGAUCAGCAACUGGUGUUGCAACUGCAAUUUCUGAGGAUU